rnacentral:rRNA from 1 species
ACUCGAGUGGCGAACGGGUGAGUAACACGUGGGUGAUCUGCCCUGCACUUCGGGAUAAGCCUGGGAAACUGGGUCUAAUACCGGAUAGGAGCCAUUUUUAGUGUGAUGGUUGGAAAGUUUUUCGGUGUAGGAUGAGCUCGCGGCCUAUCAGCUUGUUGGUGGGGUAAUGGCCUACCAAGGCGGUGACGGGUAGCCGGCCUGAGAGGGUGGACGGCCACAUUGGGACUGAGAUACGGCCCAG